AGAGUUGUAGCUCAGGGGUAGAUCAUCUGCUUUGCAUGCAGAAGGCUCCAGGUUUAAUCCCUGUCAUCUCAA